AUUGAACGCUGGCGGCAGGCCUAACACAUGCAAGUCGAGCGAGCGGCGGACGGGUGAGUAAUGUCUGGGAAACUGCCUGAUGGAGGGGGAUAACUACUGGAAACGGUAGCUAAUACCGCAUACCAUCAGAUGUGCCCAGGUGGGAUUAGCUAGUAGGUGGGGUAACGGCUCACCUAGGCGACGAUCCCUAGCUGGUCUGAGAGGAUGACCAGCCAGACUGGAACUGAGACACGGUCCAGAGUCCUACGGGAGGCAGCGGUGGUGAAUAUUGCACAAUGGGAGCAAGCCUGAUGCAGCCAUGCCGCGUGUGUGAGGGAGGCCUUCGGGUUGUAAGGCACUUUCAGCGGGGAGGCGUUACCCGCAGAAGAAGCACCGGCUAACUCCGUGCCAGCAGCCGCGGUAAUAC
rnacentral:rRNA from 1 species